rnacentral:rRNA from 1 species
GAUAAACGCUGGCGGUGUACAUAAGACAUGCAAGUCGAACGGGAGAAGACAGGAAGAUUUAUCUACUUGUUGGACACCGUGGCGGACGGGUGAGUAACACGUAAGCAACCUGCCUAUAAGAGGGGAAUAACAGUGAGAAAUUACUGAUAAUACCGCAUAAGCUGGAGGUAUCGCAUGAUACAUUCAGAAAAGAUUUAUCGCUUAUAGAUGGGCUUGCGUCUGAUUAGCUAGUUGGUGAGAUAACAGCUCACCAAGGCGACGAUCAGUAGCCGGAUUGAGAGGUUGAACGGCCACAUUGGGACUGAGACACGGCCCAGACUCCUACGGGAGGCAGCAGUCGGGAAUAUUGCACAAUGGAGGAAACUCUGAUGCAGUGACACCGCGUAUAGGAAGAAGGUCUUAGGAUUGUAAGCUAUUGUCGUGUGAGAAGAAAAUGACCAUCAC